rnacentral:rRNA from 2 species
GGUGGUAAUGCCGGAUGCUCCGACUCCUCGCAUGGGGUGUCGGGAAAGAUUUCAUCGGUAUGGGAUGGGGUCGCGUCCUAUCAGGUAGUCGGCGGGGUAACGGCCCACCGAGCCUACGACGGGUAGCCGGCCUGAGAGGGCGACCGGCCACAUUGGGACUGAGAUACGGCCCAGACUCCUACGGGAGGCAGCAGUGGGGAAUAUUGCACAAUGGGCGCAAGCCUGAUGCAGCGACGCCGCGUGCGGGAUGACGGCCUUCGGGUUGUAAACCGCUUUUGAUCGGGAGCAAGCCUUCGGGUGAGUGUACCUUUCGAAUAAGCACCGGCUAACUACGUGCCAGCAGCCGCGGUAAUACGUAGGGUGCAAGCGUUAUCCGGAAUUAUUGGGCGUAAAGGGCUCGUAGGCGGUUCGUCGCGUCCGGUGUGAAAGUCCAUCGCUUAACGGUGGAUCUGCGCCGGGUACGGGCGGGCUGGAGUGCGGUAGGGGAGACUGGAAUUCCCGGUGUAACGGUGGAAUGUGUAGAUAUCGG